rnacentral:miRNA from 1 species
AUCACCUGGGAAUCUUGUUAAAAUGCAGAUUCCGAUUCAGUUGGUCUUGGGACCCAUGAUUCUGCUUUUCUAACAAGCUCUCGGGUGAUGGCCAAU